rnacentral:rRNA from 1 species
GUUAUUAAAAACAUGGCUUAUUGAAAAUAAUUUUAAGUYUGACCUGCCCAAUGAGAAAUUAAAUGGCCGCGGUAAAUUGACCGUGCAAAGGUAGCAUAAUCAUUAGUUUUUUAAUUUAAAGCUUGAAUGAAGGGUUCAAUGAGAAAAUGACUGUCUUUAAAAUAGGUUUUUAGAAUUUUAUUUUUAAGUUAAAAAGCUUAAAUUUUUAUAGAAGACGAGAAGACCCUAUAGAGUUUUAUAUUUACAUUAUUAGAAGAGUUGGAUAUUAAAAAUUUAAAUUUUGUAAGUAUUUAGUUGGGGUGAUUAAAAAAUUUAAGAAACUUUUUUAAAUAUAAACAUGGAUGAAUGAAUAUUUGGUCAAGAGGAAAGAUUAAAAGAGUAAAUUACCUUAGGGAUAACAGCGUAAUUUUUUUUAGAGUUCUUAUCAAAAAGAAUGAUUGCGACCUCGAUGUUGGAUUAAAAUGAAUUACUGGUGAAGAAGCUAGUACAUUAGGUCUGUUCGACCUUUAAAAUUUUACAUGAUCUGAGUUUAAACCGGUGUGAGCCAGGUCGGUUUCUAUCUA